AGAGCGAACGCUGGCGGCAGGCCUAACACAUGCAAGUCGAGCGCCCCGCAAGGGGAGCGGCAGACGGGAGAGUAACACGUGGGAACGUACCCUUCAGUUCGGAACAACCCAGGGAAACUUGGGCUAAUACCGGAUACGUCCGUAAGGAGAAAGAUUUAUCGCUGAAGGAUCGGCCCGCGUCUGAUUAGCUAGUUGGUGGGGUAACGGCUCACCAAGGCGACGAUCAGUAGCUGGUCUGAGAGGAUGAUCAGCCUCACUGGGACUGAGACACGGCCCAGACUCCUACGGGAGGCAGCAGUGGGGAAUAUUGGACAAUGGGCGCAAGCCUGAUCCAGCCAUGCCGCGUGGGUGAUGAAGGCCCUAGGGUUGUAAAGCCCUUUCGGCGGGGAAGAUAAUGACGGUACCGCAGAAGAAGCCCCGGCUAACUUCGCGCCAGCAGCCGC
rnacentral:rRNA from 1 species